rnacentral:rRNA from 1 species
AUUGAACGCUGGCGGCAUGCCUUACACAUGCAAGUCGAACGGUAACAGGUCUUCGGAUGCUGACGAGUGGCGCACGGGUGAGUAAUACAUCGGAACGUGCCCGAUCGUGGGGGAUAACGAGGCGAAAGCUUUGCUAAUACCGCAUACGAUCUACGGAUGACAGCGGGGGAUCUUCGGACCUCGCGCGGACGGAGCGGCCGAUGGCCGAUUAGGUAGUUGGUGGGAUAAAAGAUUACCAAGCCGACGAUCUGUAGCUGGUCUGAGAGGAUGAUCAGCCACACUGGGACUGAGACACGGCCCAGACUCCUACGGGAGGCAGCAGUGGGGAAUUUUGGACAAUGGGCGAAAGCCUGAUCCAGCCAUGCCGCGUGCAGGAUGAAGGCCUUCGGGUUGUAAACUGCUUUUGUACGGAACGAAAAGCCUCUUGCUAAUAAAGAGGGGUCAUGACGGUACCGGAAGAAUAAGCACCGGCUAACUACGUG